AUGUCAGGUGUAAGUCGUCCUAAAGUGAUCGUCCUGCCGCCGUCCAGUGAAGAGAUUUCCAGCAAGAAGACAGCAACAGUGAUGUGUGUGGCCAGCAAUGGUUUCCCUUCAGACUGGAGUCUGAGCUGGAAAGUGAAUGGGAAGAUGUCAGGAUCUCAGGAGAACAGAGCUGGAGUCCUACAGAAAGACGGCGGUCUGUACAGCUGGAGCAGCAGUCUGACUCUCACUGAACAAGAAUGGAUCAACAGAGACUCAGUGAUCUGUGAGAUCAGUCGGGAAGGUCAGACAGUCACUGGAGAAGUGAAGAAAGAUCUGUGUUCUGAGUAGAUCCUCUCUUCUUCUCAUCUCUUCU